rnacentral:lncRNA from 1 species
CAGCACUCAGGCCAGGAAGUGGGAAAUGGCUACAGUGUUUUAGGAGAGCAAAGGGAACUGCGUCCACAAUGGCCAGGACAGAACCACACAUAGAGUCUGCUUGGUUGACACGGAUUCGUGGGAACAGCAGUGAGAACCUGAAGGGAGAGCCAAAGGAGAUGACAGGAAAAUUUUUCCCAAAGGAAGGAUCAGGGUUCCAUAACCACCUGACUGUGCACCAUCCAGCCCUGACCCACCUUCCCCUGAAGAACCUCUCAUCUGAAGGAAACCAUCAGAAACCCCUGGAUUCAGAGCCAGACACACCAGCUUUCAAAUCCUAGCUCUGCUGCCCAUGAGUCAUGAGGAUUUAAUGUCUUUCUACUUUCUACCUACAACAAAACAGCAUGGUUGAGAUGACUGCCUGAAGUUAUCAUGCAUACAGACGGCGCUCAGCGAAUGGCAGCCAUGUGACUUGCUCGUGCUUGCAUAGCAAGCAAGUGGUAGAGGCCAGUCUCAGCCCCAGGUCCAUGAGUUCAGAGCCCAUACCUUUCCUUCCCCAACACAGCAACUCCAGGCCCCUAAAGAGAAGGUAGCGAAAGGGCUCAGGACCCAAAGACAAGGCAGUUUAGGAACAAAUCUGGAGCGCUAACAAGAAAGAACACUGGCAAAGUGCAAAUUUGCCAAGGCGACCACUGGCCCUCACUUACACAGAAUGCUACCACUCCCCGGCCUCCAGCUCAGCCCAUCUCCCGGGCAAUGGCCUCAAUGUGGGCGAGGCUGAUGGGGAAAUACAUCUGCCUAGUGGAGGACUGUUGAACCCAUCCUGAAAGACUGUUUCAAACAUGCAUGAUGUCUGAAAUUUCCUUUGUUUUGGAGUUUCUUUUUUAAUCAGUUUGCAAAUGUGCUAAAUAUUUAAAUAUUUUACAAUACAUGUUUAAACACUUCUAAGACAAAUGUAUUAGGAAGCUUUGAGGUCAGUUUGUCAUUCUUCUAUCAAAGCCUCACCAUCAACUCUCUCUCUAAGUUUAACCGUAGAUACAAGAAAGUUACACCCUUCCACUCUCUGCAGCAGCUCAACAUUCCUAUUCCGCUACCAAGAACA